AGAAUUUUCAAUUGCUAGGGCUUUGUUUCAGAGAACGCACGUUCGAUUGGGUUCGACAUCUUCAUGGUAGAGACCCAAUGGAUCCAUUCUUUGAGGGAGCAGUCACUGGGGGAAGUUUGGGACGGUGGCUUCGGCAUCUGCAACAAGAAGGGGAGGCCCGAGAAGCAUUUGAUAGAAGUAUCUUUAGGGAAGAAGUAGAAGAAGAUGAGAUGCUGAUGGCAGUGAGAAUUGUUGUCGUAUGCCUAUCUGAUUUGCCUGCGGAUCGACAUCCAGCGAUGAACUUGUUUCAAUGCUCACCCAACUGAUUUGUCAUGAUGAAAUGAUGGAUAAGUCUUCCCAGAUUUCUCAAAAUUUUGAUAGUACCAGUCCAGUGAGAAAUGAUGUUGAGAUAGUGCAAAACCAACUAGGUAUCAGGAAAGGAUAUUCCUGUGGAUUUGGACAUGGUUUCGUGAUUCCAAGCCAUCAAUGUGCAUCCUCAUCUUAUAAAGAGGCUUUUAGUAAAAGAGCAGAAAUUGUUGAUGAAAAUAAUGUACAAUUGGAUGUCUUUGCAUUUAGUUUAAAAUGAUGCUCUGAUUUUUUAAUAUGUUGGAAGAGGUUUAAAGUUUAUUUUUAUAUUCUACAUAUCAUAUGCUUUUGAUAUCAAUUUAUCUAUGCUGCAUGUGGUAUAAUAUUUUGUGGGUUAGUAUGUGGUUAUUUCCAGUCAUAUAUAUAAAUGCUUUGAAUUUUCAUAUUAAGAGUUUUUCUUAUAAAGAAUUUGAGAAGAAAAAAAUAUAAACAUACAAAUAUAGCAAGGGCCCAAAAAUAAAAACAAAAAAAAAUGUAACAGGGACGGUUUCUAGCUAUCACAAAUGUGAUAAAAAAAUAAAA